AUGACCAGCAAGGGAGAUGGCAGAGCUUCCUUCAAAAGCCACCGCUGCUUCGAUGGUCAUCACACAGAGAUCUGGCAGGAUCCCAUAUUCUACAUGACUCUUAAAAGAAAACACAUGUGGCUUGUGAUAUCAUUGCAUAGCACAGUGUUUUUAUAAUUUUACUUACAUUAUGUUAUGUACUUUAAUCCUUUGAACUUUAAGAAACAGAAAAUUAAGUAUCUCUCCGAUUGUGCAUAAAGGAAAAUAUAUCUUGCCUCAUAUUUUGAUAAUACUUUUAUGUAACUGAUCUCAUUUAAAUCAUAUAACAACCCACUGUGGCCAAUUACAGGUCUUACCCCAACUUUACCGCUCUGAACACUGAGCCUUGGGACAUGGCUUUGAUGUGAUUUACAAGGUCAGCAUUAAAAUUCGCAUGAGUUUCAUUUUCUAGCCUAUCAGUCUGAAGGCUGGCGGUCUUCACUGACCAUGUUUCCAUUUUGCCUGUGUGGAUAUUGCAUAAAGGACUCUGAAUGAGAACUUAGAGCAGAAUGAUCUUACAGGGAGGAAGAGGAAAUAUUAGAAGUUGGUAACGAAUGACCUACUGUUUAACUUAGCUCAUAAGUUUUUAGAGAUGGCAUCGCUUUAUUUCUCUCUGGAAGUAUCUCAGACAUUAUCAUAUUAAAAUAUGUACUUGGUAUAUAUAUACACAUAAAGACACUUCCUUCCAUGUGAAAAUCUCUUUGGUGUGGUACAGCUUGUUUCUCAAGUUAAAUUGGCUGCUUCCUUUGUAUCUGAAGCUACAUGUCGGUGUUACAGGAAGCACCAUCAAAAAGGUCUGCCUUAAUAGUUGUCGUGGAGCAAUGAGAUAAUAUUAUUAUAAUUAACAAGGUUCAAAGGACUUUCAGGUAAUGAGAAUGUACAGUGUUUUUAAAAAUAAGAAACAUGGGCUUAAUAGAAUUUAAAGACUGCAAAAACUCCCUACUUCUUUUCCAGUAACCUACUUGUCCAAGCAUACAUAUCCGCUAAACAGUAUUUGGGGAAAUAGCCUGAAUAGUUAAUGAGUACCUUGAAUUGACAGAG
ensembl:lncRNA